rnacentral:lncRNA from 1 species
GUGAUUGGGGGGGGGGAGAAGUGAUUACAAAAAAUUCCUAUUAGAUAGCAUAUUUCCCACAUAAUUGACAGAAUUUCCCACAAAAUUGACAGAAUUUGUCCCAUUUAUUUCUAUAAUAAACCAAUAUUGCCCGACUGUGAAGCGAAUAUUGCCCGGCUGGCUUUGUUUGCCCAACAAAGCGAGGGGGCGGUCGCCCAGCUAGAAACUGGGGGGGGUCGCCCCGUCCCCUCCACCCCCACCCAGUACGCCCAUGAUUUUAAGCGAUUUUAGGCGAUUUAAAGCGAUUUUAGGCGAUUUAAGAGAAAUUUGACCAUUUUAACCCGCGAUUUAAUGCGAUUUUGGGCGAUUUUAGGCGAUUU